rnacentral:rRNA from 1 species
AAACUACGCCUGCAUGAAGUCGGAAUUGCUAGUAAUCGCAGAUCAGCAUGCUGCGGUGAAUACGUUCCCGGGCCUUGUACACACCGCCCGUCACACCAUGGGAGUCGGUAACACCCGAAGCCUGUAGUCUAACCGCAAGGAGGACGCAGUCGAAGGUGGGAUUGAUGACUGGGGUGAAGUCGUAACAAGGUACC